CCUACGGGUGGCAGCAGUGAGGAAUAUUGGUCAAUGGGCGAGAGCCUGAACCAGCCAAGUCGCGUGAGGGAGUACUGCCCUAUGGGUUGUAAACUUCUUUUAUAAAGGAAUAAAACGAGGCACGUGUGCCUUUUUGCAUGUACUUUAUGAAUAAGGAUCGGCUAACUCCGUGCCAGCAGCCGCGGUAAUACGGAGGAUCCGAGCGUUAUCCGGAUUUAUUGGGUUUAAAGGGAGCGUAGAUGGGUUGUUAAGUCAGUUGUGAAAGUUUGCGGCUCAACCGUAAAAGUGCAAUUGAUACUGGCAGGCUUGAGUACAGUUGAGGUAGGAGGAAUGCGUGGUGUAGCGGUGAAAUGCUUAGAGAUCACGAAGAACCCCGAUUGCGAAGGCAGCUUACUAAACUGUGACUGACAUUGAUGCUCGAAAGUGUGGGUAUCAAACAGGAUUAGAUACCCUGGUAGUC
rnacentral:rRNA from 1 species